rnacentral:rRNA from 1 species
AUGCCGCGUGUGUGAAGAAGGCCUUAUGGUUGUAAAGCACUUUAAGCGAGGAGGAGGCUCUUUUGGUUAAUACCCAAGAUGAGUGGACGUUACUCGCAGAAUAAGCACCGGCUAACUCUGUGCCAGCAGCCGCGGUAAUACAGAGGGUGCAAGCGUUAAUCGGAUUUACUGGGCGUAAAGCGCGCGUAGGCGGCCAAUUAAGUCAAAUGUGAAAUCCCCGAGCUUAACUUGGGAAUUGCAUUCGAUACUGGUUGGCUAGAGUGUGGGAGAGGAUGGUAGAAUUCCAGGUGUAGCGGUGAAAUGCGUAGAGAUCUGGAGGAAUACCGAUGGCGAAGGCAGCCAUCUGGCCUAACACUGACGCUGAGGUGCGAAAGCAUGGGGAGCAAACAGGAUUAGAUACCCUGGUAGUCCAUGCCGUAAACGAUGUCUACUAGCCGUUGGGGCCUUUGAGGCUUUAGUGGCGCAGCUAACGCGAUAAGUAGACCGCCUGGGGAGUACGGUCGCAAGACUAAAACUCAAAUGAAUUGACGGGGGCCCGCACAAGCGGUGGAGCAUGUGGUUUAAUUCGAUGCAACGCGAAGAACCUUACCUGGCCUUGACAUAGUAGAAA